rnacentral:lncRNA from 1 species
GGGAGAGAGUAUAUUUGGUUGGACAGCUGCUCAAAUUGAGCCUUUUGUUUACAGGUGGAAAUGAAGCUCCUGUGUUGCCAGAUUUCAAUUUUCAAGAAAAACUUAACAAUUUAUAUUUUUUAUUUGAAGUCUGUCAAUUGUUAAAUGUUGGCCAUGCAUUCAAAUAUCAGGCCAUUUCCUACAGAUGCAUCAUAAAACAAAGAAGAACAGAAAGGCAUGUUCCAGUCUUCCUUGGUCAUUACUGUUUUUCAGGAAUUAAUUGAUAGGGAUUACCUGAAGAAUCCAGAGAAAGAGCAGGUGCUUCGACCUGGCUAUCACGGAGGUGGUAAUAAACGUAAUGAUGGCUUGCUGCCUGAGGAUUCGUGGCACCAGUGUUUUGUGCACAGAAAGACACAGACCAACAAAACCUGUUGCAUUAUAGACCAUCUCAUGACCCAAAGACAAGGAAUGUCUACGUUCUCAUUAAAAUGGCAAAGCACGUGACCACGCUGCACCCAAUAACAUGUUUCAGAGAGUGGCCGUGUGCUUCCCACGUGGCUCAGUGGUAAAGAGCUCAUCUGCCAAUGCAGGAGCUGCAGGUUCAAUCCCUGGGUCAGGAAGAUCCCCUGGAGAAGGAAACGGCAACCUACUCCAGGAUUCUUGCCUGGGAAAGCCCAUGGACAGAGGAGCCUGGCAGGCUACAGUCCAAGGCGUGGCAAAAGAGUUGCACACGACUUAGUGACGGGGCACUCAGUCCUGUUCUUUGUGAACAGUCUACUUGACAAAAACUAAGCCUCAAAUUUGCAGGACAGUUUGUUGGGCUCCAUUUUAAUGAUAAAAAUAUAAUAUGAUAUUUCUCAAUCUGUAAGGGUAUCUGUGAAUGGGUCCAGUUUGAAGAAAAUAAAAUGACAAUGUCAAUCGCA